GUUCCCAUCUCUUUUCCUGUGCUGGCACUUCGCUGCGUCUCACACGGGGCAUUGCUAACGAGGCUGGGUUUGGCUGUACAGGUGAGGAUACAAUAAACAACUAAAAGGGACAGUUUCAGGAUCAAGUACCGCCGUCGGGAGAGCAGUGACAAGUAGAGGAAAGCAACCCAGUCUUUAGUAAAGAAAGGCUUUGUUCCUGCAUCCCUUUCAACCAUCUCACUACUCGAAAGAGUAGGGCAACAUGCAUUAAAAGUGUAUACUGUGUCUUUGCAGGUCUCCAUUGAAGUAGGUGGUGGAUGUAUGAUUAAGACAUUUUAUUGUUAAUUUAUCUUCUUGAUGCUCAAUAUCAGACUCCAUUUUCAUUGACUGAGUAACUGUGGAGUCAUUAUGAAGGCAAUAAGAACUGAGUUACUAGCCUUGGAAGUGAUUACUGCUAGAUUUUUGCCUCUUGAGCGCCUCCAAACAGGAUGUUGCGUUAUUAUAUGCAAUUCUCUUCCCUGAUGUACUGUCUGAGCGUUGGCCAAACUUGUCAGUGUACCACUAUGAUUCAUGCAGAACACUUAAUCUCAGUGGAGCCAAAGUAAGUAUACAUGAGACCAUAAAUGACAGUUUUCAUUGUUAUGCUCCUUUUUUUAAGUGGAGCUCUCUCUCUUCAUGAAAUAUUAUUUAGUGUAAUCUAGUAGCCUGAUUGCUAGAUGCUAGUAAAUCAUCAGAUCAUGCCUGGAAUCCUUACCCACCUGUCUUUUCUCUGUUGGUGUUACAGGUUUGCCUGCGAGAGACUUCUGGACAUUAAAGUUCUUUUAAAUACGAUUGGUUUCUAAAUGUCAUGUGUGGCUUUCCCUCAGGAACAUGGAUGUCAGGCCACACGUGUGAUAGGCACAGCUACAAAACGAGCAUCAUGGAUGUUCAUCCUUGAAGUUGAAUUUUCAGAGCUGAAGGAGUAGUUUGAAACCUGUUUAUAUUGGAGUAAGGCUUCAAGGCCCCAGAAUUGAAGAAAUGAACUGCUGUGCAGACAGUUAUGAAGAAAUUUUCACAACUCCUAAUGCUCCUUCCUGCUCCACUGCUACAAACUGUGCCACAGCACAGCAAAGAAUUGAAUGGUUUCUGAAGCAAGUGUGUGAGGAAACUGGGCUUUUCAGCCUCACAAGGUAGUUGUUGGGAGGAAGGGAGAGAGAGGGAGAGGAGGCUGGGAUUUCUGAGACUGCGUCAGUACUUUACUUUAAGGAGUUGUUGAAUAAAGCAUCUUACAUAUAUCUUGCUCAUCCUCUGGCACUCCUAAGAAAGCAGCAGCUGCCACGGCAGUUUGUGAAGCGGCUGAUGCUGCAGGUUAAGCAGUACGUACUUACUGGAUCCUUCCCUCAGAUGAAGUAGUACUUGGACAGGCUUGUGCCGAGCUGCUCCAUUUUGCCCAGGAUGAGGAAUUUUUUUUAUUAUACCAGUGCACAACUCUGGUUAGGACGCCUGUGAAGUCAGGCACAUUCAGAGUAAGACAGUGCGUAGGCUUUCUGGAACACAGUUUGAUCACCCUAAAUCCACUAAAGUCCUCAUUUAGGCAUACAUGUCCUUUUCUGUCCUUGCUAUGAAACAAGUCCAACUGAUGAUCCUGUAAAGCCUCUUAUCCAGCUGCGUGUGGAGCCUGGUCUAACAUAGCCCAGAAGGUACUGCCUUUUGCACCAAGGAGAUAAUCCAGUUUCCAACUUCUGACUUUCCCAGAUUGGCACAUUGCUUUGUGCAACCGGGACAGAAGAUACAGACUUGCAUAGCAUGUGUCCAAAUUUUCUGGAGAUAGAAACUUUGCAUGGAAACUUGGAAACUGAUUGGAAUAUGAAAUGGUAGCCCAAAACUAAAAUGUUCCAUGUUAUAAUCAGACUCCUAAAUCUCCCAAGCUUCCGCACUGAUCCUAUAGUAUUACAGUAAGCUUUCAUUUCACAUCCUUCUGGAAAACUCAGUAUAACUUCCUCUGUCGUUUUAAAGAAAAUAUAUUACAAGAUCUGCCUAGUUCUUGCCACUACCAUAAAGGGACGAUGCAGGCUGUAACGCCUUCAUUUAUUGCCAUUUUCUUUUUGGCUGAAGGG